rnacentral:rRNA from 1 species
UACGUAGGGUGCGAGCGUUGUCCGGAAUUAUUGGGCGUAAAGAGCUCGUAGGCGGUUUGUCACGUCUGCUGUGAAAUCCCGAGGCUCAACCUCGGGCCUGCAGCCGAUACGGGCAGGCUAGAGUUCGGUAGGGGAGACUGGAAUUCCUGGUGUAGCGGUGAAAUGCGCAGAUAUCAGGAGGAACACCGGUGGCGAAGGCGGCUUCUUGGGCCGUUCCUGACGCUGAGGCGCGAAAAGCUGGGGGGAGCGAACGGGG